UACGUAGGCAGCAAGCGUUGUUCGGAGUUACUGGGCGUAAAGAGUGCGUAGGCGGUUUUCCAAGUCUGUCGUGAAAUCUCCCGGCUUAACCGGGAGGGUGCGGUGGAAACUGGGAGGCUCGAGUGUGGGAGAGGUAAGCGGAAUUCCUGGUGUAGCGGUGAAAUGCGUAGAUAUCUGGAGGAAUACCGGUGGCGAAGGCGGCAUCCUGGACCGACAUUGACGCUGAACGGCGAAAGCUAGGGGAGCAAACGGG
rnacentral:rRNA from 1 species